CAGGAGACGGAAGAUGAAAGUCAAGAUCUUGCGUAUCCUUUCUCACUCUUUUGUUAUGUUCAUCUGUCUCAGUUAUACUAUCUUUUUUCUUUUGUUUUACCUUCUGGUUUUAAGUCUUUUGCAUUAUAUCAUAGUAGAAUGACUCUCUGCUUGAUAGUAUUGGAUUAGUAUGAAUUGGGUUUAUCAAGAAUUACUGUAGUUGAUUGGCUUGAAAGUUGUACUUCCUAAGUUGUUGGGUUAGAAAACCCAGAAAACCCUGUAUGUUCUUGAUGGCAUUCAAGAUCUGAGCUUGAAAUGGAAUUUGUUAGCCUUACAUGUUAGACACCAUGUAUCUGUGUUUUGUUGGGUUUGAGUAUUCUGGUAAUAUUAUGAAAGGCCUAUGCUCUAGUAUAAUCAAGACUGGAACUUGCAAUACUUGCUCUAGUAUAUUAUUCAUGAGUCUCUAGCAUAGAUACUUGUAUAAAUUUAUUUUGUUUGAGUAGUGUGAUAAUAACAUGGAAAUGCUUGUAUGCUUUAGUUUACAUGUUGGCUAGUUAUCUAGCCUAAACAUGAUAUAUCUUUCUUAUCUUUCUUGUAAUUUGUGAAAUGUCAAUGCUGCAAGCAUUUUAAAGAAAGGGUUUUUUCUUGACCUGCCCUCCUCUUUGUGACUUUCUGCUGGGAUUUCAAACAGAGUGGCAUGCUGUUGCUGCAUGGACAUGGGAUGCACAGGACGAAACAUGUGGCAUUUGUAGGAUGGCAUUUGAUGGUUGUUGUCCUGACUGUAAGCUCCCUGGGGAUGAUUGCCCACUAAGUAAGUCACAAACAUUAUAUUCUAUCAUUUCUUUUAGUUCAUCAGAUAAGUUCAUAUAGGAGUUCAGACUUCGCUUUUGAGAAGUGGCUUGAAUUUUUCUGUAUCCACAUAUGGUCGUGCCUUUUUUUCAAGUGUAAUUGAUAUGAUUACUGUGGUACUUGCAAUGAUCUGUGCUAGAAUUGCUGGUUGUGUUAUGGUACAAUUUAUACAAUUGAUUAUUAACUUACAAGCAUCAAGAUUUGGGUUUUCUUUCUUUUGUCCUACUAAAUACGUAAAAUAGGAUUCAGAUACCUGACAUAGUCUAUGCUGAUGUGUAUCAAAAUCAGCUACCAUGAUAUGUUUCCAAACAAACUGUGAUAUCCAAUUUUGUGUUUUUCUUUUUGGGGACUAGAAUAGUAUAUUUAUGAUCAUGAAGGCCAACCAAAUUGCUUAUUAGUUAUUACUCUUUUCAUGGCCUAAACUAUUAUUCUCUGUUGAACCUGAACAUUGAGGCAUUAAUGGAUUCUAGUUUUAAGAUUCAGUAGCAACUUCUAGUUUGGAUUCUACUGGACAAAGGCCAGUAGCUCGCUUGAUGCAAUUAUACUGUAGUCUCUAAACUAUAGUCUGACAUAGGACAAAGAAAGUGAGAAACAGAGUGAGGUUUAGGGUCAGAGAAGAAAGAAAGUUAGAAACUUGAAAAAGAAAA